CCUACGAGAUGGGGAUAACUAUUAGAAAUAGUAGCUAAUACCGAAUAAAGUCAAUUAAUUUGUUAAUUGAUGAAAGGAAGCCUUUAAAGCUUCGCUUGUAGAUGAGUCUGCGUCUUAUUAGCUAGUUGGUAGGGUAAAUGCCUACCAAGGCGAUGAUAAGUAACCGGCCUGAGAGGGUGAACGGUCACACUGGAACUGAGAUACGGUCCAGACUCCUACGGGAGGCAGCAGCUAAGAAUCUUCCGCAAUGGGCGAAAGCCUGACGGAGCGACACUGCGUGAAUGAAGAAGGUCGAAAGAUUGUAAAAUUCUUUUAUAAAUGAGGAAUAA
rnacentral:rRNA from 1 species